AAUCAACGCUGGCGGCGUGCCUCAGACAUGCAAGUCGAACGCGAAAUUUCCCUUCGGGGAGAAAGUAGAGUGGCGCACGGGUGAGUAACACGUAGGUAAUUUGCCUUUGGGUGGGGAAUAACUCAGGGAAACUUGAGCUAAUACCGCAUAAUGCAGCGGCUCGACAUCGAGACAGUUGUUAAAGCGGGGGAUUGGAGCAAUCCGACCUCGCGCCUAAAGAGAAGCCUGCGGCAGAUUAGCUAGUUGGUAAGGUAAUGGCUUACCAAGGCGACGAUCUGUAACCGGCCUGAGAGGGCGGUCGGUCACACUGACACUGACAUACGGGUCAGACUCCUACGGGAGGCAGCAGUCGGGAAUUUUGGG
rnacentral:rRNA from 1 species